rnacentral:rRNA from 1 species
GACGUAGGGGGCCAGCGUUGCUCGGAAUUACUGGGCGUAAAGGGUUCGUAGGCGGUGCGGCAAGUCGGGAGUGAAAUCUCUGGGCUUAACUCGGAGGCUGCUUCCGAAACUGCCGUGCUCGAGUGCGGGAGAGGCGAGUGGAAUUGCAGGUGUAGCGGUGAAAUGCGUAGAUAUCUGCAGGAACACCCGUGGCGAAGGCGGCUCGCUGGACCGCAACUGACGCUGAGGGACGAAAGCUAGGGGAGCAAGCAGG